UACGGGGGGAGCAAGCGUUGUUCGGAAUUACUGGGCGUAAAGCGCACGUAGGCGGCUAUUCAAGUCAGAGGUGAAAGCCUGGAGCUCAACUCCAGAACUGCCUUUGAAACUAGAUAGCUAGAAUCAUGGAGAGGUGAGUGGAAUUCCGAGUGUAGAGGUGAAAUUCGUAGAUAUUCGGAAGAACACCAGUGGCGAAGGCGGCUCACUGGACAUGUAUUGACGCUGAGGUGCGAAAGCGUGGGGAGCAAACAGG
rnacentral:rRNA from 1 species